AUGAACGCUGGCGGCGUGCCUAAUACAUGCAAGUCGAGCGAACGGACGAGAAGCUUGCUUCUCUGAUGUUAGCGGCGGACGGGUGAGUAACACGUGGAUAACCUACCUAUAAGACUGGGAUAACUUCGGGAAACCGGAGCUAAUACCGGAUAAUAUUUUGAACCGCAUGGUUCAAAAGUAGAAGACGGUCUUGCUGUCACUUAUAGAUGGAUCCGCGCUGCAUUAGCUAGUUGGUAAGGUAACGGCUUACCAAGGCAACGAUGCAUAGCCGACCUGAGAGGGUGAUCGGCCACACUGGAACUGAGACACGGUCCAGACUCCUACGGGAGGCAGCAGUAGGGAAUCUUCCGCAAUGGGCGAAAGCCUGACGGAGCAACGCCGCGUGAGUGAUGAAGGUCUUCGGAUCGUAAAACUCUGUUAUUAGGGAAGAACAUAUGUGUAAGUAACUGUGCACAUCUUGACGGUACCUAAUCAGAAAGCCACGGCUAACUACGUG
rnacentral:rRNA from 1 species